rnacentral:rRNA from 1 species
AUUGAACGCUGGCGGCAGGCCUAACACAUGCGAGUCGAGCGGAUGAAGGGAGCUUGCUCCUGGAUUCAGCGGCGGACGGGUGAGUAAUGCCUAGGAAUCUGCCUGGUAGUGGGGGAUAACGUCCGGAAACGGGCGCUAAUACCGCAUGCGUCCUGAGGGAGAAAGUGGGGGAUCUUCGGACCUCACGCUAUCAGAUGAGCCUAGGUCGGAUUAGCUAGUUGGUGGGGUAAAGGCCUACCAAGGCGACGAUCCGUAACUGGUCUGAGAGGAUGAUCAGUCACACUGGAACUGAGACACGGUCCAGACUCCUACGGGAGGCAGCAGUGGGGAAUAUUGGACAAUGGGCGAAAGCCUGAUCCAGCCAUGCCGCGUGUGUGAAGAAGGUCUUCGGAUUGUAAAGCACUUUAAGUUGGGAGGAAGGGCAGUAAGUUAAUACCUUGCUGUUUUGACGUUACCAACAGAAUAAGCACCGGCUAACUUCGUG